rnacentral:rRNA from 1 species
UGAAUGGCUUGACGAGAAAUCAACUGUCUCUUAAUGAUUUUUAAAAUUUAACUUUUGAGUCAAAAGGCUUAAAUUUUUCUUUAGGACGAGAAGACCCUAUAGAGCUUAACAUUUUAUUUUUAUAUAGUUUUUAGUUGAUCUUUCUAUAUUUAAUGAUAAUGUUUUGUUGGGGUGACAUGAAGAAUAAUUAAACUCUUCAUUAUAAAAUCAUUGAUUUAUGUUUAUCAUGAUCCAUAAUUUAUGAUCAUAAGAUUAAGUUACCUUAGGGAUAACAGCGUAAUUGUUUUCGAGAGCUCAUAUCGACAAAGCAGAUUGCGACCUC